rfam:Zea mays cultivar B73 chromosome 4, whole genome shotgun sequence.
AAAAACAUGAAGAGGCCUUGUAAUUUGAAGAUAUCAUCUGAUGUUAUACAUACAUGCAUGGUCUUCAAAGUUCUCUGAUUGCU